rnacentral:ncRNA from 1 species
CCACCUAAUAACACAAGGUCUUGGUCUUAAACCUCCUAUUAUCUAAACUCUCUACCUAUACAUGCAAGCCUCAACACAACAGUGAAACAGCCCACUACAACUACUACGGAGCAGGUAUCAGGCCAACCGCCCAUGACACCAAGCAAUCAAGCCACACCCCCACGGGCCAGCAGCAGUAGUUAAUAUUAGGCCAUAAGCGCAAGCUUGACCCAGUAAUAGAAUCGCACCAGGGUUGGUAAAUCUCGUGCCAGCGACCGCGGUUACACGACAAACCCAAGAUAAUCCUACCGGCGUAAAGCACGACUAAAACCCACUAGUUUUAAUCAUUUAGGGUUGAAGUAAAACCUGGUUGUAAAAAGCCAUAGGCAGCACCAAACACAAACUCUAACAUAAAAACAACCUUAACUCGUGAAAGUCAGGACACAAACUAAGAUUAGAUACCUUACUAUGCCCGACUGUAACAAGACAAUUAAACAACUAAUUGUUCGCCAAAUAACUACGAGUGAAAACUUAAAAUUUAAAAGACUUGACGGUACCUCAUAUCAACCUAGAGGAGCCUGUCUAAUAACCGAUAAUCCACGAUUAACUCAACCUGCUCUGGCCUAACAGUCUAUAUACCGCCGUCGCCAGCUUACCUUGUGAAAGAAACAUAGUAAGCCUAAUAAUAUCCCACUAACACGACAGGUCGAGGUGUAACUAAUGAGCAGGACCAAGAUGGGCUACACUCUCUAAAACAGAAAAAACGAAUAGACUAUGAAACUGGAAACUGAAGGAGGAUUUAGCAGUAAGAUAGGAAUAGAUAAACCUAACUGAAUCCAACGCAAUGAAGUGCGCACACACCGCCCGUCAUCCCUGCAAAACAUACAGCAUCUACAUAAACAACGUAACUAAACCAAACAGGGCAAGUCGUAACAUGGUAAGCGUACUGGAAAGUGUGCUUAG